UCACCUUCCUCGGGGGCUGCGUGCUCGCGAGCCACAUGAUUUCUUGGGAGGUCCCCGCUCACUCUCGGAAAAAAAAAACAACAAAACAACACAAACCAAAAACGAAACUGCUCGAUUUUUUGGGGGCUGAAGGGCGAGCUGCCUCCCAGCCCCAUGGGGAUUCUCCUCAGGCAGGACAACGCAGAGGGGAUGGAGGGCUACCACCCCCGGUGCCCACACCCCGCCAAGAGGGCUUGGGGGACCUACGUGGCCGUGGCUCUUGGGGUGACGGUGGUGGCGCUGGUGGCAGCCCUCCUCACCGUCCUCUGCCAGAGGGCCGAGGGCUCCGCCAUGGCGAGGAACAGCUCGGAAGCGCUGGCGCGGCUGGAGAAGGCACUGGAUGUCACCAACAAGUCCCUCGCCGAUGCCCGCGGGUGGUGGGACGGCUGCAGGAAGCAGCUGGGUGCGCUGGAAGGAAAGGCCUUGGAACUGGAAUGGGCACUGGCCAAUGUCACCGAGCUGCAAGAGGAGAACAGGGCGCUCAAGGCGGAGGUGGCCCAGCAGGAGGAGCAACUGGGAGACCUGCAGAGCAAAUGGUGAGCAUCGUGCUUCCCCUCACACACCCCCCACCACCACCACCCCCCCCACUCUCUGUCACCAACCCUCCCCAUCGUCCCCCCCACCAGGGAGAAGCUCCGGCUGCAGAACCAGGUCCUGGAGAAGCAGCUCCGGGACAUGAGCAGCCAGCACUCGGAUGGGAACGGGCUCCAGGCCAUGUCCCUCAGCCUCCUGGCUCUCCUCCUCCUCCUCCCCGGGAUGCUCCUCCUGUGAGGAGAGCAAGAACCCGGGCCCCACUGAUUCCUGACCCCCGAUGUGGGGUGAGGAGGGACCAUCCCCAUCCAGCCCGGUGGGGUCUGGGGGUGGCAGCGGGUUCAGUGCCACCUGUGGGAGCCCGGUGCCCGCUCAGCCCUGCCCUGUGACUGCCCACACUGUCCUGUACCCCCCCCACACCCUCUGCUCACCAAACUGCCCCCCUUCACCCUGGGGACACCCCAGGGACGUGAUUUCUGUUCCCUGGGUGAGGGAGGGGACAAGGGGACGGGCUGGAGGGGACAGAGACGUGGCAGGGGCUGCCCUGAGUCGAGGGGACCACAAGCUCUACCCCAUCAGGUCAUUUUUACCCCAUUUCUAAUAAAACCUUUGUGAAAACCCA
rnacentral:lncRNA from 1 species